rnacentral:rRNA from 1 species
AUUGAACGCUGGCGGCAUGCUUUACACAUGCAAGUCGAACGGUAACAGGCCGCAAGGUGCUGACGAGUGGCGAGCGGGUGAGUAAUGCAUCGGAACGUGCCCAGUCGUGGGGGAUAACUACUCGAAAGAGUAGCUAAUACCGCAUACGAUCUAUGGAUGACAGCGGGGGACCGUAAGGCCUCGCGCGAUUGGAACGGCCGAUGUCAGAUUAGGUAGUUGGUGGGGUAAAGGCUCACCAAGCCAACGAUCUGUAGCUGGUCUGAGAGGACGACCAGCCACACUGGGACUGAGACACGGCCCAGACUCCUACGGGAGGCAGCAGUGGGGAAUUUUGGACAAUGGGCGCAAGCCUGAUCCAGCAAUGCCGCGUGCAGGAAGAAGGCCUUCGGGUUGUAAACUGCUUUUGUACGGAACGAAACGGCUCUGGUUAAUACCCGGGGCUAAUGACGGUACCGUAAGAAUAAGCACCGGCUAACUACGUG